UUCAUUAUUUUUUAGAGCUGAUGAAGGUGCCACGAGUAGAGUCAAAGUUAAGAGUAUUCUCUUUCAAGAUUCAAUUUCUGUCUCAGGUUACAGAAUUUAAGAAGAGUUUAAAUGCUGUGAACUCUGCUUGUGAAGAGGUCCGAAAGUCUGUCAAGCUGAAGAUCAUG